AUGGAAGAAGGUACAUUUUUUGCAUCCAUGAAUGAGUGUAGAAAUGCACUUGUGACAUACUGCAUCAAGGUAGAAUGUACUUUCAAAGUUGACAAGAGCGAUCAAGUACGUUACAGAGUGCACUGUCCGACUGAGAGUUGUCCAUGGAGGCUGCUCGCAUCUAAAAUGCAAAAUAGCACUAAUGUUCAGGUCAAAGUGAACCCUUUUAAGCACACAUGCCAGGAAUCAACCCUUAGGAAGGAUACAAUCAGUAGAGCCAAGUCAAGAUGGGUGGCAGAAAAAGUAAAGAAGUGGUUGAAAGAAAACUAG
rnacentral:rRNA from 1 species